UGUGGGUAGAGGGGCAGUGGGGGAGAUGUGGUGGCAGUGUAAGAGCUGAGGGGCUUUGGGGGCUCUUGGGGGAUGUGGGAGGAUAUGGGUCUGUAAUGUGCUGUGUGGGGAUCUCGAGGGAUGAGGGGAUAUUGGUGUGUUUUGGGAAUAGAGGGGGAUGGAGGGAUGUGGGGCCCACAGGGGGUGCUAUAGAGGGAUGUAGGGCUGUGCGUGGGUUGUAGGAGGAGAUGGGGCUGUAGGGGGCUGUGUUGGGAAUACAGGGAGGGUGUGAGGGGCCAUGGGGAGGCCAGAGGGAGAAAUGGGACUGUAUGGGGUAUAGGGUAGGGCUUUGGGGCGACAGGGGGCUGUAGUGGGUUACAGGGGUGGAUAUUGGGGGAUAUGGGGCUGUAGUGGUCUGUGGGGGCUAUCGGGAGGGUUGUGGGGCUAUCUGGGGCUUCAGUGGGGGCCGUAGGGGGAUAUAGGGCUGUGCGGGGGUUGUUGGAAAAUAUGAAACUAUGGUGGCUGUAUGGGUGUGUGGGGCUUUAAGGAGCUUAAUUGUGUCUCUAGGGGGGCUAUGGGGCUCUGGAAAGCUGUGGGGGACUGUAGAAGGGGUAUUGGGGUAUAUGGGAAAAGAGGGGGAUGUGGUUGGAAUCUAGGGAUCUGUGGACAGCUAUUGGGG
ensembl:lncRNA